UUUCCGUAGGUGAACCUGCGGAAGGAUCAUUAUCAUGUAAUUCAGUCCCCUUGGCUGUGUUAUAUAUAUACCCACUCUGUGUACCUUCUCCUGUUGCUUCCGCUGGGUGUGUAAUUCGCCCGGCGGAAGGGUAAAAAUAACCUCUGAGUAUUGAUGAAAUCUCUGUCUGAACCGAAUAGAAAGAAAAGUGUUAAAACUUUCAGCAACGGAUCUCUUGGUUCUC
rnacentral:misc_RNA from 1 species